rnacentral:lncRNA from 1 species
AAACAUUAUUUACAGCAUUUAAAACUUUUAGAAAUAAAAUUUUAUAAUUUUUCGACAUUAUUUACCUUAUAAUCAAGUUGUCACAAAUUUGACAAUUUUUAACUGCCGAUAUGGGAUACUUGCUAGUUUAACGGUGUAAAAGAAUCGGAAUUUGUUGAAUUUUUGAUAGAAAAUUCUAUUCACUACAUAGAUAAAGAUCAAUAACUCCGAUCUUGAAUUGAAGGAUCCGAUCAUCCUUUUUUAGGACGUCCUUCGAUUUUAACCGUUCAUUUUAUGCCCACUUGAUGGACUUUAUUAUGAUAUUGAAAAUUUACGAAAUUUAUUUUCUAGAAGUUUCAAAUACUCUAUAUCAUAUUUAACGGAGUGGAUCGUCGAUUCAGAAGCUUCAUCAUUAAAAACAACUUAUGAGUACGAUGGCUCAAAUACUCAUAAUAAUAUAGUAGCCACGGCCUCUAUAUAUAUAUAUAUAUAUAGAAUUGAGCUAGAAUACUUUUACAAGUAUUACCCCCAUAAUGCUAUUAGGUUUUUAGCCAUUGGAUCUACUCCUUAAUUACUAAUAGCCCUUGGAUCAAACACUAUUCCACCUACCACCACCUACCACCACCUACCACCAUCAUCUCAACCUCACAUCUCUCCAUCCAAUGGCUAAAAACUCAAAAGCACCACUCACAUAAUACUUUUGAAAGUAUUCGAGCUCAACUAUAUAUAUAUAUAUAUAUAUAUAUAUAUAUAUACACACACUACAACAGAAUUAGGUUAUAGAGACACAUGUUUGGGACACUUUUGUCUAAGUGUCUCAUUUAUGUCAAAAUUUAAAAAAACAUCUACUAAUGCCUAAAUAUAAAGCCGAAUCCAACAAAAAAAUAAAAGAUUACUAUACUCAAUCCACCCAACCGAGCCAAUUUGGCCCGAUUCCAAACUGAAAGGAAAAAAAAAGAAAAAUCGAUUACCACCUCCCCUUCUCCCUUCACUCAAUCCACUGAAAUUCUAGACGAAUGACCCUUCCCUCUCGUCCUCCUCCGCCACCGCAGCCAAAUAAGUAGAGUUUCGGCGGUUGCUAGAUGCUUAAAUAAGUGUUGCUAAAUUAGCAGUACUUUUUUAGGUUAUAGCGACACUCUUUAACUGUCGCUAUAUACUUAGCGACCCCACAUAUAGCAACACUUUUUAAAAGUGUCGAUAAUUUAGCCAGCAGCACUUUUUUUGACCUAUACCAACAUUUAAAAGUGUCGCUAUAGAUCGUUUUAGUGAUAUAUAUAUAUAUAUAUAUGUAUAUAUAUAUAUAUAU